AGGCGCGCCGGGCGGGGGCGGAGGCCGCGCAUGCGCAUGUGCGGUGCCGCUAGUUCCAACUCCACUUUCCCAUAGACGCUGCAACUGGCUGUGAGACCCUAGAAGAAGCUCGCCCUUGUCAUAUCCCAGCCGGCUUCUUUGCUCUCAGCUUGUUUGCUGUCGGUGUGACCCUUCCUCAUGCCACACUAAUGGCUGUCCGGCGGCACCAUCGUGCAUUCAUUUCUUCCACAGAUGUUUAAUGGGCUCCUGCUCUGCGCUGGGAAUACAGUGGCGCGUGAAACAGAUGAGGUCCCCCCCUCGUGGAGCUCAUAGUCUGGUAAAGGAAACGGACUACAAACUCAAUUUAUGUAACUACAGAGUGUUAAAAGGGCAAGGAAGGAAAGGAAUGAGAAGUCACCGAAGUGAAUAAACCUACCUGGUUUCCUGUCAUGCCUCCAUUUCUCUGCCGGGAGCUGCCUCCAAGGUGCCCCGAACAUGAUUUUCUCUGCCUCUGAAACCCUUACCUUCCAGUACCUCUGCCAGAGACAUACUUUUUUUACUCAACUUCAUGUGGGAAAUGAACUCAUUUUUGUGCUGCGUCUGUACCUUCUGCCUGUGUGCCUUGUUUUGUAUUUUUCCUUCUCCAGGGAGGAUCUGACAAACUUGAGUUAUUUUUACAUGUAUUGAUUUAUUUUAUGCUAAGUGCUCCCAGGAAAGCGGGGGAUGGGGAAUGCAGAAAAUGAGCAAAAAACUAGCUCUUGUCAGCGAGGCCCAGAGAGCCCUUCAAAACGGAUUUAUUUACCGGCCAUGGAUAAACUUCGAGACAUUGCGGAUACCCCCAAAUAAUAUGCUAAUAUUUUGACGUUGUUUAUUGAACUAAAAUAAUACGCAUACAUAGUUUAAAAUAUAUAUACAUAUACUAGAAGGCUUGUAAUGAAAAAAGCAGUUCUCUGGCCUACUCUUUAGAGGCAAUAGCCUCAACUCCUUUAGAUACUCAUCCAGAUUAGAUCCAUAUAUCUAAAUAAAUGUGUAUACUACUAAUUCUUGAUUUGUUAAUUUUAAGGGUUAUUUGUUGACUUCCUGCCGUGAUAGAUAAGAACAUGAAUGAGUCUAUCACUUCUGUUCUCCACCUCCACAUUUAUAUAACUAUUUUUAGUUAAACCAAUAAUCAGCAUUUAAAUUAUGUUUGCAAAUACUGUUUACUAAUGAGCCAAUAAAGGUAGUACAACCAUG